UCUCCCCCAAGCGUGUGUCUCUGCACGGUCACACCACGCUCUCACCUGUGCAAUUUCAGGGCCUUCCUCCACCUCUCCCUGUCCUUGGGCCUCCUGUGGCCACCUCUGUCUGCAGCACACCGCCUGAUGGCCAAUGACCAGCACCAGCACUCAUUCCGAAGCCGCGAGUCCACAUGAUAGUGCUCUGCUCUUCUGCCCUUUGAACUGCUUCCUGGGUCUCAGAAGCAGCCCCUCCCAGGAGAAAUGCCGUGAGCUCCAGGGACACACUCUUCCUGAGAACCCCUGAGGGUGGGGUGAACGGAGGGUCGUGGGCAUCGCCGGACACGCUGUUCUGGUAGGAAUUUGCCCUUCCUGUGGAAUGCAAGGGCGCCGUCUCCAAAGGGGAUGCUCUUCCUCAAGGCUUCACCCAAGAACCACGAGAAAAGAACAGGGAAGUGUGUCUGGGCUGGAGAUGACCCCAAUCUUGUCCAGCUGGCUCUGUCUCUGGGACAGGAGGCUGAGAAUGGAGCUGGGCAUAGAAACACGGACACAGUUGAGCUGAGAGGGACUCCACGGCCCACCACAGCAGCCAGUCACAUACGCCUACUGCCAGGCACCAUGUGCCAGAACUGUGCUCGGCUUGGUCUCCCCACCAAGCUCACAACAAUCCUCGAGGCCGGCCCUCUUCAGUCUACCCAGGAUCCCUGGGCCACCACAGAGGCCCUUUCAGCCGGAAAGUCCUCGGGGUACCUGGUGAGGACUGAAGCCCUCUACAGCAUCCUCUCAAAUGGUCCCCCAACCUCACGCGCCAUUCAGCACUCAGCCACCCAGCCAGGUGACCCGGCUGAGCACGAUUUGAUCCCACUCUCCCUGACUACACCACUGACAGAUGCCUCCCUCCAGCAGGAAACCGGAGAGAACCCAUGGAAGAAAGUCAUCCAGCUCAGCACUGUCCUGCGAGCCUCUGGGCCCCCAGUAUGCACUCAGAUGUUAGAAGAGGCAUGCAUCUGUCCACCCACCAAUCUGUCCAUCCAUCUGUCCAUCCAUCCAACCAGUGCUCUCCUGUUCCAGGCACUGUUUCAGGAACGGGGGAUGCAGCCAUGGGUCUUCUGGGCUUUGCGGAGCCCCUCACUCAUGGAACAGACGUUCUCACGGAGAGGGUAGUCAAUCAACAGAAAAAUCGAGGGGCUGGCAUGUCGGAAGGCGUGGAGAAAGGAAAUGCAGGUUCAGGGUUGAAGACACAACAGGGGGCUUGUGGCCUGGCG
rnacentral:lncRNA from 1 species